rnacentral:rRNA from 1 species
UACAGAGACUGCGAGCGUUAUUCGGAUUCACUGGGCGUAAAGCGUGCGCAGGCGGUUCGUUGUGUCGGCGGUGAAAGCCCCGGGCUUAACCUGGGAAUGGCCGUCGAAACUGGCGAACUGGAGUGUGGCAGAGGGGGGUGGAAUUCCGCGUGUAGCAGUGAAAUGCGUAGAGAUGCGGAGGAACACCGAUGGCGAAGGCAGCCCCCUGGGCUGACACUGACGCUCAGGCACGAAAGCGUGGGGAUCAAACAGG